rnacentral:rRNA from 1 species
CCUACGGGGGGCAGCAGUCGAGAAUCAUUCACAAUGGGGGAAACCCUGAUGGUGCGACGCCGCGUGGGGGAAUGAAGGUCUUCGGAUUGUAAACCCCUGUCAUGUGGGAGCAAAUUAAAAAGAUAGUACCACAAGAGGAAGAGACGGCUAACUCUGUGCCAGCAGCCGCGGUAAUACAGAGGUCUCAAGCGUUGUUCGGAAUCACUGGGCGUAAGGCGUGCGUAGGCUGUUUCGUAAGUCGUGUGUGAAAGGCGCGGGCUCAACCCGCGGACGGCACAUGAUACUGCGAGACUAGAGUAAUGGAGGGGGAACCGGAAUUCUCGGUGUAGCAGUGAAAUGCGUAGAUAUCGAGAGGAACACUCGUGGCGAAGGCGGGUUCCUGGACAUUAACUGACGCUGAGGCACGAAGGCCAGGGGAGCGAAAGGGAUUAGAUACCCCAGUGUC